rnacentral:rRNA from 1 species
UGGGGAAUUUUGGACAAUGGGGGAAACCCUGAUCCAGCCAUCCCGCGUGUGCGAUGAAGGCCUUCGGGUUGUAAAGCACUUUUGGCAGGAAAGAAACGUCAUGGGUUAAUACCCCGUGAAACUGACGGUACCUUCAGAAUAAGCACCGGCUAACUACGUGCCAGCAGCCGCGGUAAUACGUAGGGUGCAAGCGUUAAUCGGAAUUACUGGGCGUAAAGCGUGCGCAGGCGGUUCGGAAAGAAAGAUGUGAAAUCCCAGAGCUCAACUUUGGAACUGCAUUUCUAACUACCGGGCUCGAGUGUGUCAGAGGGAGGUGGAAUUCCGCGUGUAGCAGUGAAAUGCGUAGGUAUGCGGAGGAACACCGAUGGCGAAGGCAGCCUCCUGGGAUAACACUGACGCUCAUGCACGAAAGCGUGGGGAGCAAACAGG